AUAAUAAAAUAAAAGUUUAUGUAAUCUUAACACCGAUCAUUACCGUUAAACUUGGAGACACAUACUCAUAGCUUGGUAGUCUACUUUAACGUGAUACUGGCAAAUCUGUGGUGUGUCUGCCACAGAAGCCACAGUAGGAAAAAUAGAAUAGAAAGUUUUUUGUUAGUUUCACGCUACAUGAGGUUUAAAAUACAACUGACAGUGCACGUCAUGUUAUUCAAGUUGACCGGUUGGUGUGUUUGUUUCGAGUUUCUAUUAGCUUAUUGUGCCGAUAUUAUCAUUAACAAUGUCACGACCAAGACGACAAAGACGUAAUGCAACUAUGAUUCGAAAUAUUGCGAAUGAAAGGACUGAAGAAGAACAAGAAAUUGCAGGUGAAAAGAACCGCGUUAGUAUGGAUCGUCUUCGUGCUAUGAAUCACAAGAGCAAAGCGUAGCAGCCCGUAAAACGGAUCAGCUGGCAAUACGAAAUCGUCAAGUAAAACUUCAGAGAUCAACAACUUAUAGGUAAUUUUCGACGCACAAGAAGAAGUUUAUGAAGUACUGAUUUGAAUCGAGCAGUUUCGAUACGAUUGCAGUACUUAUACUGUACUGUAGUACUGCUUGCAUACUAGCUUUCGCAUUGGGCCGAUGGACGUUGUUUGCGAGUAUUCUGCGGAAAAACACAAGAAUUGUGCUACCAUGUUCUAGAAAACACUCAAAAAUACAAUGUUUGUUUCCAAAUGACCUCAUUUGGGGCAGACAUCUAAGAACGAGGAUUUAAUUCGACAUUCAAGAAGAUGCUGUGCAUCACACUCCAUCAAGGAAGAGAAGACCACAUGUCAUUUUAAAGAAAAUGAAACUUUCACCUCAUUGUGCAAGUCUUUAUCGUGAAUUUACCAAAUCACGAAACCAGCUUAACUUUGAUUUAAGAGCUAAAAGUGCAUUUUCACAAGAGAAAUUUUUAUGAAUGCAGAUUAAACAGGCUUACAAUAAGUUUAAAACGAAAAUGAAAAAUAAAAUAAGAUAACAUGA